UACGUAGGGGUGCAAGCGUUAUCCGGAAUUAUUGGGCGUAAAAGGAGCUCGUAGGCGGGUUUGUCGCGUCUGCUGUGAAAACUGGAGGCUCAACCUCCAGCCUGCAGUGGGUACGGGCAAACUAGAGUGCGGUAGGGGAGAUUGGAAUUCCUGGUGUAGCGGUGGAAUGCGCAGAUAUCAGGAGGAACACCGAUGGGCGAAGGCAGAUCUCUGGGACCGUAACUGACGCUGAGGAGCGAAAGGCGUGGGGAGCGAACAGG
rnacentral:rRNA from 1 species